GGACAAUCUGACCUAUGGAAGGGGAUAACCCCGGGAAACUGGGGAUAAUACCCUAUAGACUAUGGAGGCUGGAAUGCACUGUAGUCGAAAGGUCCGCCGCCAUAGGAUGGGUCUGCGGCCGAUUAGGUUGUUGUUGGGGUAACGGCCCAACAAGCCUGUAAUCGGUACGGGUUGUGGGAGCAAGAGCCCGGAGAUGGAUUCUGAGACACGAAUCCAGGCCCUACGGGGCGCAGCAGGCGCGAAAACUUUACAAUGCGGGAAACCGUGAUAGGGGAACUCCGAGUGCCCGUAAAAUCGGGCUGUCCACCAGUUUAAAUAACUGGUGAAGAAAGGGCCGGGCAAGACCGGUGCCAGCCGCCGCGGUAAUACCGGCGGCUCGAGUGGUGGCCACUAUUACUGGGCUUAAAGCGUUCGUAGCUGGUUUGUUAAGUCUCUGGGGAAAUCUUCCGGCUUAACCGGAAGGCGUCUCAGGGAU
rnacentral:rRNA from 1 species